GUCUGGGUAGCUUAGUUGGUUAAGUGUCUGACUGGCUCAGUUCAUGAUCUCAUGAUUUGUGGGUUCAAGCCCCACAUUAGGCU
rnacentral:tRNA from 1 species